GCCGCUGUGGAUAAGCUCGGUUUAAAUCGUUGGUCUCAUGAGCCAAAGGUCGGGAGUUCAAAUCUCCCCAGCGGCA
rnacentral:tRNA from 1 species